rnacentral:rRNA from 1 species
CAGUCGCCGCGGUAAAACCGAGGGUGCAAGCGUUAAUCGGAAUUACUGGGCGUAAAGCGCGCGUAGGUGGUUUGUUAAGUUGGAUGUGAAAUCCCCGGGCUCAACCUGGGAACUGCAUCCAAAACUGGCAAGCUAGAGUAUGGUAGAGGGUGGUGGAAUUUCCUGUGUAGCGGUGAAAUGCGUAGAUAUAGGAAGGAACACCAGUGGCGAAGGCGACCACCUGGACUGAUACUGACACUGAGGUGCGAAAGCGUGGGGAGCAAACAGGAUUAGAUACCCCGGUAGUCCCUGUCUCUUAUAC